CUUCUACGGAGGGCAGCAGGCGCGCAAAUUGCCCAAUGUCAAAAAAAAACGAUGAGGCAGCGAAAAGAAAUAGAGCCGACAGUGCAUUUUGUAUUGUCGUUUUCAAUGGGGGAUAUUUAAACCCAUCCAAAAUCGAGUAACAAUUGGAGGACAAGUCUGGUGCCAGCACCCGCGGUAAUUCCAGCUCCAAAAGCGUAUAUUAAUGCU
rnacentral:rRNA from 1 species